AUUGAAGGCUGAAAUUCGCCUUCCAUGAAGCUGGAAUUGCUAGUAAUGGCAGGUCAGCAUACUGCCGUGAAUACGUUCCCGGGCCCUUGUACACACCGCCCGUCACACCAUGAGAGUUGGAAAUACCCGAAGCCUGUGAGCUAACUUAAAGAGGCAGCAGUCGAAGGUAGAGCCAAUGAUUGGGGUGAAGUCGUAACAAGGUACC
rnacentral:rRNA from 1 species